rnacentral:rRNA from 1 species
UACCCGCUGAAUUUAAGCAUAUAAGUAAGCGGAGGAAAAGAAACUAAAUAGGAUUCUCUUAGUAAUGGCGAAUGAACUGGGAUGAGCUCACCAUGGAAAUCGGGGUCCUCGACCUUGAAUUGUAGUCUUGAGACGCAUCGCCAACAAAGGCGCAGGUGUAAGCCUCUUGGAAGAGAGUGCCGCGGAGGGUGAGAGUCCCGUCUGUCACUUGCAGUCCCUUGUGUACGGCCUGCGUUCUAAGAGUCACGUUCCUCGGGAUUGGAGCGCAAAUUGGGUGGUAAGUUUCACCUUAAGCUAAAUAUUGGUCCGAGACCGAUAGCAAACAAGUACCAUGAGGGAAAGGUGAAAAGGACUUUGAAAAGAGAGUUAAAAGUGCUUGAAAUUGCUGAAAGGGAAGCGAAUGGAACCAGUUCCGCUGGGUGAGAUUGUCGCAUGCCAAAGCUCCGUGCCGGUCGCAUGCGGUGCUUCUUGCCUUGUGUGUCAGCUGCGGUCCGAGGUUGGGGAAAACUCUGGGGACAUGGAUGCCAACCUUCGGGGGGGUGAAUGUGCCUGGCAAGACCCGUCUUCGGACCGUGAGCAGUGCUUGG